rnacentral:ncRNA from 2 species
AACAUGAUAGGCGAAGGUGUUCGCCAUAACCGUUAUUCAACUAAUGACACCUAGUUUCGG